UGUGGCAUGCUGCCUGGAUGUACUUUAUAGUGACUACAAAUGUUUCUUUCAUUGGGAGUGCCAAUUGAUUGAGUUGGUAACAUUCGAGUCAUUGGUUUGAUCCCCUUCUCAAUCUGAUUUUCAGCCAGGAUCCCACUUGUUUUUCAGGAAAAAAAAAUCAUUGAAGUGGGUUAUGUAACAAAAGCAUGCAGGGACCACAUAACAAGGAGAUUUGGUGCGUGUCAUGUAGAGUGUGGGUGGAUUUCUUAUAUAAAAACAUGUAGGCAUGUAAUGCUGAAGCUGUUUCAAUGGCAAAGCAUACAUGAAUUAUCUAGCCUUUUUGCAGCUUGUGCUCAGCAUGUAACUAUGAAUGAUGAUUAGUGGUUCCUUUUGUAAAUCAAAAUUAAGGAGUUUUGUAGGUUAGUACUAGUUGAAGCUAAUGUUUUAGCAUUAGAGUUGGAGAAUAAAUUACUCAAGAUGCGGUGUGGAGGAUUUGUUUUAAUAAAUGCUCUCCCUUUUGUAGUAAAAAAUAAUUUACAGAAGAUGAUGCCUUAGAUUUGGACAAGAUAAUCAAAGUAUAAACUGUAGGUCAAAUCUAAUUUUGUAAGGGUUGGUUGUUAAUAGUAAUUUUGUAUAAGUUGAAUAAUUCCGUUAUAAUGACCACUAACAAUUCUGCAACCUCUUUUGCAUUAGUCACAUAUAAAACAUUAUAUAAAUAUUAAUCAUUAAAUAUAUAGCAUGCCCACCAUAAUUAUGGAAUGCAAUAGCUAUAUUUGUUAUCAAAAUUUUAAAUCCUGUGAGACGGGGGUGUCCCUAUUUCUCUAUUGGACGGGAUGCCCCGCUAUUAUGGCCUUUCUUGUAGGUACUCUCCAUCUGUAUUUCUUUCUUCCCUUAUUUGUUUUUUUUUCUUCUUCCUUUCCUUUCUCUAUCUUCUACCUUGGUUUCGUUUCUUUUUCCCUUUUUCUUUUCAUCUUCUCUCUUCCCUUUUUUUUCUUCUUUCUUUCUUUUUUUUCUUCUUUCUUUCUUUUUUUUCCAUUCUUCCAUUUCUUUCUUCUUUUUCUUUGCCCCUCCUUCAUUUCUUUCGUUUUUCUUUUUCUUUCCUUCUAUUUUUUUUCCUUUUCUUUUCCCUUCCUUCCUUUCUUUCUUUCCUUUUCUUCUUCUUUCCAUUCUUUCUUUAUUUCCUCUUUUUUCUUGCAUGGAUGGGUUUGAGAGCCCCCGUCCUACCUAUAUUUACCAAAUUGGUUGCUAUUAAUUAAUUAAUGUUUGAAAGUUGUAAUAGUAAUUUUUUGAAUUUAUGUAUGAUAAUAUUCAUCGAAGACUUAGUAUUUAUGACAUUGUUAUCCUGUUAGUAUAAGUUAUUCCAUGUUACUAUAACUGUAACAUAUAGUGAUAUUUUAUUCAACCAAAUUUUAUUUUUUUACCCAUUAUAAUAGUCCUGAAUGGAUCAUAAUAGAUUUGGUGCAUGACUUGGUUGUGUGAAUAACUGCAUCUUGGUUGCAUGCUGUAUAUUGGGCAUGAUUACAACAAAGUAUGGAAAUUUCAAAACAUGGUUGCUAAGCAUUUAGUUGCUGGUAUAAUCAUCUAAAAACAAGGGCUAAAAAAUGGGCCAAUUGAUUGCAUGAACUGCAGUUUUGGACUCUUUUGACUUUCUUAAAGCACAGACAUGCAUGCACGCACUCUCCUUUCUUUCGCAUAUUAUCUUUCCCUUGAUUCUUUUUGCAUGAUCUGAAGUGAAUUUGUCCAUAGUACUAAGGUGUAGACAUCAUAAAUUGGCAAAAUAUGGACAGAGACCAUAGUACGAUAAUCCACGCUCAAAGAAUGGGCGAAUCAGCAGGGUAAUCGGUUUACAUUGUUACCUUCAUAUGAAUAAUUGAGAGAUCAAAGCAGUUACUGAAAACUAGAAAAUUAUUAUGACUUGUAACAUACCAUGCCCUUUUAAUUUCCAUUCUAUAGUGUGCCAUUUUAUAAAAUUAUGGUUCUUGAUUGGCUUCAUAUCCAGUGUUCUUCUCCCUCAUUAACACAUUCUUCUAUGAUACAGUGGCCUAAAAGAAAGCUUCGGUUGAAUCUUUCUUCAAAUUUUCAAGCAGUUAUGUUGCAGUGUAAUUAUCAACAACAGGUUAUCAUUAUUAUAUCCAACAUUGGUUGCAGGGAAGUUGCAGCAGAAUCUAUUUAUAAGGAGAGAUGCAUUGCUGUGAAUGAUGGGCCUAGUUGGGCAAAGUAUAUGUCCAUCUCUGGCUCUCAAGAAGAUGAACACGACAUAAUCACUUUGCAGUAUACAGAAGAGGGCUUGUUAAGCGUAGAUGAGAACUGGGAUGGCCAUGCUGCAGCUUUUGGGGAUGACAUUGCAAUUGAGAGCUUGGCAACAGAGUUCAAGCGAGAAGUUUAUGUGGUGAGUGUAUGAUAAUAAUAUUCUUCUCAUCUUGCAUUCUUUUUGUUUUUUAAAUGAAAGUCCGUGCACCUGGGAUAUAUUCAUGUGCAUGUGUGUGUUGUGCUUUUGUACUUGUGUUGGUUUUUAUGAGAUGGAAAAGUUUUUAUUCCAUGUUGUUUGAUAUUUGUUAGAUAUUGCAUUGUUUUGCUGACUCUGGUGUUACUGAUAUAUGUAUCUCUGUAAAGUAUGCCUAGCUCUAAUUAAUAGUGUUGCACAUGUACAAGAAAGGGUAAAUGAGAGACCAGUCAUGUACCUUUCUUCAUUUUGAUCUCCAAGCAUUUUCCUUGGCAUCAAAAAGCAGGUGGAACAGAAAUUUAAAUGACAAGUCUAUAGAUUUUAUUUUCCAAAUAAAAUGAUAAAAAAAAUCAAUUAAAAAGAUAUGUCAUAAAAGAUGAACAUGAGGAUUGGAAAGCUUAUUUGUUUCAACAGUAACAUGGAAUGGCUGUUGUUUUAAGUUAUUCUAUACUGGAUUCACUUCCACUGUCCAUAUUGAAUGCAGGAAUCUUUGUCAAAUUUCAUUAGUCUCAUCUCUUGCUUUUUUCUCAUGUAUUUACUGUGAACUCCCUAUCUUCCAGAUCUUGUAUUCGGUCAUUAUAGAAAGUGAUCAUAUAUAUAAUGUUGCAUCUGGUAUUAGAGUGAAGUAGUGUUGGUGAGAAGAGGGAACACCUUUCUUGUUUAGCAAGAUCAUCAUAAGGUGUUGCUUGUUAGCAAGUCAUUAAGGUGUUUCUUGUUUAGCAAUGAAUAAUGUUGAUCAGGAGAAACUUGAGUUGAAGGUGAUGAUCUUGAUUAAGUGUUCUUGUUGAGGAAAAUCUAGAAGUUUGGAAAAGUAUACAAAGUGUUUCUUCCUUUUGCUACCAUUUUUGUCAUUGUAUGAGCUUUUAUGACCACGGUUGUAACUAGAAGCAAACCAUUGAAAUGAAGGAGGUAAAAAAGUGAUAAGCUGGACAUUUGAUUUUAAAGAAAUAGUGAAGAUUUGUGGUCAUAAAAUUAAUUAAGAAGAUCAAAAAAAAUAUGGUGAAACGAAGAGUAGUCUACUGAACUUGAAGGACAGAAAAGUCUGAUGUUAAAUUUUGCAAGGUCCUUAGAAAGAGAGUGCAAAGCUUAAGGAGCCUGCAUAAAAUGCCAAGUUGGUUGACCAUGAAAUCCAGGUACCUAUUAUGACUUCUUAUGAAUCCUUGUUUAUAAUGCGUAUUCGUGAAUUUGUAAUGUUAAUGAUGCAGUCCUUAUGGUGAGAGUAAUGCAAUGUAGAAUGCUUAACAAUAUGACAACAACUUGUAGCUGUCAAGUUUCAGAUGACUAUUACAUCACUGAUGGCAUUAAGUUUGCUUGGUCAUAUUACUGGUCAAAUGGACACAGUCGUGAAGCAUUGAUUACGAUGAAAUUGGGUAAAAUGCAAAGCACUUUGAUCGUAAUUGUCAUGUAAAAUGCAAAUAAAUCCAUCCCUACCAUCUUAAAUCAUAUAUACUUCAUGUAAAAUAUUGCAUGUUUGGUGAAUAAUGCAAGUUGAGUUUUAGAUCUUUAUUUAAUAGACUAGAAGCCUGCUCAUAGGUAGGAGUGUACUUACAGAGUUGGUGUAUGAUGGUGCAAUGUAUGUGUGAAUAUUUCUAGUUUUUCAAGCAUCUUGGGCAUUUAUUGUCUAAAAUUUCCAAGUCAUGCUCAAAAGAAUGGAUACACAAUAAUUUUGAGGCAAAAUAUGUGGCUUGUUAGAUUAUCGACAUUUUUGGUGACAAUUAAAUGAAAGAUUUAGCAAAUAGUCUGGAGUAGACAUGUAGUUCAUAGUUCAUCGUAGAUUUUAGGUGUUUUAAUGUAUGUGCAAAAAGGAUAAUGCACCUAGAUUGAUGCCUUAUAAUUAGCCUUACGUUACUGGUAUGAAGGUCAAAAGGUCAGAGGCUAUGGGGCCUAAUGAUAAAAGAUAGCCAUCAACAAAGUGGCUAUUUGAUUGGAGUUGCAUGUCUAAGAAAACCAAUUAAGACACUCGGGAAGGAUGCUUGAUGGCUUGUUCAAUUUGACAUCUCAUUGUGAGGCGGUUCAACGUAGGCUUGUUUCUCAUUGGUUCCAAUGAAGAUUGACAAAGUACAGUGAAGAGGGCAUCAUAUUAUACACGUCUCAGAUUCAUUGUAAUUGGCAUGGUUUUUGUGUGUGUGUGUGUGUGUUUGUUUUUUUUUAAACUUUGUCGUGGAUUAGACUGACCAUCUUCCUCUGAAAAGGCAUUUAAGGAUAACAACGGUGCCGAGUAAAAGAGUGUUAAAGUGAACAAUUUUGAUAGUAUUGUUUAAAAGGAAAUAUACAGCUGGACAGAUAUGUUACAGUGAACAAUGUGAUUUCCAACUAUCGUGUUAAAAUGUCUAGAAAAUUGGGUGUCUUUCCAUUUUUGGCAAACAAUUUGAAUCUUAUUGUUUAAAGAGAUACACGCUGGCUCAAAAAAUGUUAAAAUGAACAAUAUUUCUUUGCUCCAACAUUGUUCUUUUUCUAUGUAUAUGCACACACGUGGGUAUAUCUUCUGUAAAUUUCAUUUACUUUUUUAUGUUAUCAGGUUCAAGCACAUGGUUCAGAUGCAAUGGUUGAUGAAGACAAUUGUGUCUUCUUUCUCCCACACCAACCUAGGGGUCAGAUUUGUGGACCUCCAAUUUUUCUGUUUAUGAAAGGCACAGGUAUGUAGCCAUUUCUUGCCAUUUUAGUGCAACUAAUUUUGCAGGUGAUCAUUAUCAUUGUAUCAUAUAUUGUUCUUAAAACAAUAAAAUUAAGCCCUAUUGUUGUCAGAUUUCCUCAUAUGAGCUUGAUAGAUUCUUCUAGCACAAACUUCGGAGUAUUUAUUUAGAACUUGCCUCUGCUUCUUAAUUCUUUUGAUGUACUAACUCAGCUUCGAGUCAUUCGUCAUAUAAUGCAAGCAUAGUUUAUCAAGAGUGAGUGUAGCAAAAUUAGAGUUAUAUUUUGAUCUCUAAAAUUUCUCAGCUUUGACAUGACAUCUACAUCCAAAUUUAUUUAUAAAAGCUCUUACAACUACCAAACAAGGGAUUUUGGUUACUUAACUAUAUUUGGUCACACUUUGCAUGCGCCUAGGUGCUUCUGCCUCCAAAAUGUUUGAGUUUUGGCUUAGCUUUUCUUGCAUCAGACCCAUGCCUGCACCUCUGAACAUAAAUUAUCUGCACAUUAGUCAAGUUUCUUCGAGUCUCGCUAGCACAAAUAUAGUAGUUUGUAGUAUCAUUAGCCUUAAGCCUUCUAGGUAACGGCAAGUGCUUCUAUUGCUUAUUGAUAUGUGCAGACAAUUUUUCUGGCUACCUUGUGCACAGGCUUUGCACACUUCCCUUUCGUUCACUUUAUAGACUGGACAACUAAAUUUACAUAUACAUGUUUUGUUGCUUGUUUAUAGUUCAUAAUAGAUUGCAUCACAUCUGAAUAUCGUUUGCUAAGCCAUUGUGUACUUGAAAUUGGGCAAGUUCUUUAUUUAUUCUUUUUGUUUUGUAAAAGGGAAUGGGUAAUGUUUACGUAUUAAACAUAGAUAAAACUAUCAAGGUUUACGCCAGUCAAAUAAAUGGUGAAAAAUAUGCUAUAUAAUGCUAUACCCUACCACCCCCCCCCCCCCCCCCCCUCCUCCUCCUCCUCCUCCUUGGAUACCAUACUGGAAACUAUCAAGUUUUACACCGGUCAAAUAAAUUAAAAAUAAAAAUGAGUGGUGACAAAUAUGCUAUAUAAUGCUAUAUCCACUCCCCCCCCCCUCCUCUCUCCUCUUUUCUUUCAUGGAUACCAUCCUGGAAAAGUUGUGAAGAUAUUUAGUAUAAAGCAAGUAUCUACCAUGCAGAUCUCCUUCUCCUAGUUAUAUUAUAUAUUUCUGGUUAUCUGAUUCCUUGUCAAAAGUCAGAAAUUAAAGUUUUGCUGUUUAUGUUUUGAUCAGUUUUGAAAUUUACAGGCUGGUGUGGUGCCGGAGCUGACCAUUAUGAACCUUUGGUAGCUAGUCCUAUUCCUCUUAUUUCCAAGGAGAAGGCUGCUGUUAUACUCUGAGGAUACUGAUUAUGCAGUGACGAGAGAUGGAUCAAGAUUUUUUUAUGUUGGAAAUUGUCAACCAAUUAGGAUUGAAUGAGAAUUCUUAUUGCAUACCUAUUUUUUGACGUGAUCCACUUUGGAUCCACACUGACUCUAACCUGCAGGGCCUUUACCUGCUUUUGAGAGACCUCUUAGUGCCUGUGUAACAGUAUUUCUAGCUUCGGUUGGCGAGAGAGUAUUUUCGAGUUAUUAGAUGGUUAAUUUUUUCCUGCUGUACUGGGUUUUCUGAGUGUUUCAGAUCAGUCCAUCGGAGCUGUUUCUCUUUUUAAGAAAAUUUCGUCUCUAUUAAUUGAUAGAAUUGGUUAAUUUUUUUGUUGUCAAAUACUUAUAUUUCUUUACAAUUUUGUUAGAAGCUUUGGCCAUCGUGAGUGUAGGCUAAUGAUAAACUUUGAUGCAAAAAGUUGUCAUGAACAAGUACACAUGGCUCUGUGGGCAUGGGUUUCUCAAACUGCCUUGCGUUUUCUAGGUAUGUUUUAUGCCUCAUCCGUUACUGUGGAUGUUGAUUCAUCUGAAGUUAGGAGGGUCUCUGCAUGAAAUUGAAGGUUUGUAAACUGCUGUGGCUGCUCGUCCAUGGACUUAUAACUGAUGGCAUUGUUUGAAAAUUUAACUGCCAAAAUGUCUAAGCUCUAUUUUUCAUUCAGAUUUUGCCUCGCCUGAUUGAGUAUGAUGAUAGGGGUUUACCUUCUUUGGAGUCUCUGACCUCUCUGCUUAUCAAAAGAAAAAAAAAGAAAAAGACUGGGAUAUAGGUUGGUCCAGAGUCUAUGAUUACAGAUUGUUUAUUUGUUGUUGUAAUAUCUGUAAUAUUGAGAAACGUUUUAGCGUUUAGCUUGCCACUGGUGAUUGAUGCCACUGAAGAGGUACAAAAUUGAUGUGGUUUUCAUUUCAUGAACUCUUAUGCUGUUUGGUAGGUUGAUGGUAACAGUCGGGCCUCGCCUACUACUCGGCCAUCACCGAUUUUUGCAUCUAUGAUUUAGCCAAUAACCAAUUUUUGCAUUGGAUUUGUCUGGUGAUUUUUUUCUUUUUAAUAGUUUGCAUCGUUCUGAUUUACAAACUCAGACUACCACGAGCUAAUUUUAAUCCAGUUUCUAAAGCCUUGUACGCAUGGUGAGAAGAACCCUAAUUAUUUGAACCUACAAGAUUCCACGAAAAAAGUGUCGCCUUCUUGCAAUUCUAAAUGGAUGUUUUUGUUCUGUUUAUUGGCAACUUUACAAUUCUCGAAUGUUUCUGUAAUGCUUAGGUAUCCGUUGUGGCCAACUAAUAGUUUUCUUGGCCAUGGCCGAUGGCCUACUAUUAGUUCCCUUAGGCUGGUCAUGCCGCAAGGGUCAGAUACGAUAAACCUUAAAUAUGUGUGUGUGUAUAUAUAUAUAUAUAUUUGUAUAUCAUAAGAGUGCUUCACAUCAAUGAGGAUAUAUAGACUGAAUAGUUUUAGCUCCAUUUGAUAGAGUUAUUGGUAGUAGAGCUUUCAAAAUUAGAGUUUUUUAAAGUAUAGUUUUUUUAAAAAAUUAUUUGCUGUUUGGUAACUACAUUUCUAAAGUGCUGUGGAAGGUAAACAAUCUGAGAAAAUAGCUUUUUAGUAUGAUGAAAUUACUAUAAAAAAUAUUGUAUAAUAUUAUACAACAGAGCAUAAUAAGAUAUAAUAUAUAUUAAUAAAUAAAUAUAUAAUAUAAUAUGAGAUUACUAUAAUAUAUUAUAAUAUUAUUAUAAUAUAGUAAUAUAAUAUUAUAUACUAUAGCAUAAUAAUAUAAUAUAAUUUGAUAUUAUAUAAUAUAACAUAUAAUGUAUUAUGAUAUAAUGUAAUAUAAUAUUAUAUUUAUAGUAGAAUAUAAUAAUAAAGGUGUAAAAUAUUAUAAUUAUUAUCAUUAUAUAUUAAUAUUUUUUUUAAUAUAAUAUUUUUAGGAACUAAUUUUUGUGUUUCUUGUUUUUUAUUAGGAUUUCUGCUGAUUUUUGUAAUACAAAGGAAUAUUUUCUGUAAUUAUGAUAUUUUCUUAUUGGUAUUUUGGUCCCAAAAAAAAAGAAAAAUUAUAAACCAAAACAACUUUCUGACAUAUACUAAAAGUGUUUUUUCGAAAAAACUCUAUUUUGGAGCUUUUCUCAAGAAGCUGUUUUAGCUUUUUCCGCAAAGCUAAAACACCUUUCUGAUUUUUUUUACCAAACAUCUUUAUUCUAUCCAAAAGUACUUUUGGAGGGUCAGAAAGUGCUUUCCGGCCCACCAAAAGCUCUUCCAAAUAGGGCCUCAAUGUAAGGUCCGAAAAAAUAGUUUCUCUUUUUUAUGUACCAACAAUAUUAAUUCUUUGCCAUCUCUACCCACAAGGAAAGCAAAAGUUGUCGUGCCUCAAGCUCGGAGCACGUCAGACGCUGCACGCAUGUACGACGAAUCAUACAGGCAUGCAAGGCUGCAGAUCAUAUCAAAGCAAUGAUAAAUUUCUGAUUUUUUUAAAUCAAUAAUAUACUCAAAGCAAUCUUCCAAAGUUUCAAAAUAAUAUAUGACAAGAUAAAUCAAUUAUUAUAACUAGUCUAUUUAAAAUGCCAAUAACUGAAAGAAAUCUUUAGAAAUCUAGUGCACUUCCCAAUCCCAUGCGAUCAUGCAUCUGGAUCUGAAAAACAGAUAAAAUAUAAUAAUGAGCUAUACUAGCCUAGUAAGCAACAUAAUACCCUAGAGUGGGGUCAAAGCAUAACAGAUAAUUAAUCAAAAUAAAAAAUAAUGAUUGGAAAUUAAAUCACAAAUAAGUAUAUAUUUUUUUGAAUUUAUUAAGUAUUUUUAUAAAAACUCUGAUACUAAAGUCUCAACAUAAAUUGGUUAAAGCCACGUAACCUAGUGGCAUGGGUUGCAUAAAGUGCCAAAUCGACUAUUAUUAACUACUAGUGGCAACAGUGUCCAAAUCUACUAUUAUUAAUCACCGGUGGUAACGGUGUCAUAAUCUACUAUUCUUAUCAUUGGUGGCACGGUGUUGAAACUAGUUUUUCACAUAUACAAGUCGAUAGGGUCAACGAAUAAUCUCCAUUAGUGGAGCCAGAACAGAUCAUAGCUAUGCUGAGAAUAUAUACAUAUAAAAAUAGAUUUCAUAAGUUGCCGAGUCAUAUUUUACAGAUUUUAUAGUAUAUAACAAAAUUUUAAAAUAAUAUUUAGCAUAUUUGAGCCAUUUUACUAAGUACAAAAUAUAUUUCAAAAUUAAUCCACUAAUAAUUACUUUGCCAAACACUUUGGAAAAUAUACUUUGAAGUAUUAAGUUGCUUACCUCGUUUUGCUUUAAAUCGUACUUCAGAAAAACGGGUCAGAUGCACCUGUUUAAUAUUAUUAAUUUUAAUAUUAUUCCAAAAGUCAAAAUUAAACACUACUAUCUCAUGCCCCCAGAUCAGGUUGGUCGGGUAACGGUGCCUGACUACUCAGGUUAGUCCGAGCCAAGAGUAUUUAAUGGGUCAAAUAAAGAUCAAAAGUAGUUAAAUCUAGCUGGGGCUGAAGUCAUGGCUGGUCUACUUCCCAGGGACCGAGGCGGUUCAGGAUCUCUAAACUGGGUCAACUUGGAUUUGAGCAAUAGGAAGAAAAUGGCUUACACUAGGAUCCUCGAGCAUGUCUAGAGAGAGAAAAAGGAGAGGAGAGAUAAUCUUAGCUUGGAUUUGGAUUUGGUUUGAUCCGGUCUUGGGCUUGGUCUGAGUAGUUCGGAUCGACAUUUAGAAAAAAGGUCUAGAUCUGGUCAGAAUGUGGGCUUGCUUAGAGGGAGAAAGAGAUACACAAUCUAAGUCUAAUUGAGCUUUUGGGCUUGAUCCACUUAGUUAGGUUCAAUCAGAGGCUUGGCCUACUUAGUCCGGUUUGACCAAAAUCAGAAAAGAGAUAUUUGGCCUAGGUAAACCUGGAACAAUCAAUGUAUCUAGUCCAUAAUGAACGGACUCGGCCCACAAUGGAUGAAUAGGGCCCGGAAGAAAUAUGACCCAUAAUGAAUGAACAGGGCCAAAAGGAAUACAACCCAUAAUAGAUGAGCAGGGCUCAAAAUUAAUAUGACCCACAAUGAACACUGCCCUAAUAGGGUGAACAGGGCCCAAAAGGUAUACGACCCAUAAUAGACACGACUCAUAAUAGACACGGCCCAACAGAAUGAACAAGGCCCGAAGUCAUCCCACGAUGGACAUGGCCCAACAAGGCCCAAAUUUGGCCCACCAAAGGGCAUGACCCAACAAGGACCAAGAUGACUGAAUUGGGCCCACACAAUGGGUAUGGCCCAACAGGGCCUAAAAUGGCUGAACUGGUCCCAAAUUUGGCCCGCAAUGGGCAUAGCUCAAUAGGGCCUAAAAUCACUAAGUUGGACCCAAAUUGAAUAGGGCCCAAUUGAAUGUUCACGGUCCAAAAUAGAUCACUGUGGGUGUGGGUAUGCUUCAUCCCGUUGAACAAGGAGGAAGAAGAGAUAAAGGGAAGAGAGGGAAGGAGAAGCUGGCGGGGUGGCCGUGUCCUGGUGGCUGGGGGCCAUUGUCCGAAGAGAGGGAAGGAAAAGCUGGCGGGGUGGCCGGGGGCUGUUGUCUGGUCGAUGGCCCUACCGACCGCAUUGGCGGCCGGUAGCCGUUGUGACGACCGGCAAGAGGGAAGAGAUCGACAGUAGUCCCGGUUUGGAGCCGGAAUAGAGAAAGAAAUUGGCCUCUAUUUAACCAAAAGUAAAAGAACAGAGGGAAGGGAAGCUUACCGGUGAGUGGUGGAGAGGAGGGUUCUUGGUCGAGGGUGGCUCGGUCCGGCGGUCAAGCGGCGGCGGUGGCGGCACUUCCGGCAACGAGGAGAAAUCAAAAAAAAUAGGGCACUCGGAUGACAUAGAGGGAGAAGUGGGAGCUUUGGGCGGCGGCGCUCUGCUGGGGUGGCACGCCGACCACUGGAGAAGAAGGAGAAGGGGGGAGGGGAGGCUCGAAGAUGAUGGCUUGGUGGCAGAAAAAAGGUGGAUUUAUAACGGUUUCCGAAUGGGAUAGUGGCUUGUUCGCCGCUACGAUUCCUGCGGCGGUUAAGCAUGACUGGCGGCCAUUCCUAGCGGCUAUGGGGCUGCCGCGGUACUGCCGUGGGGCUACUGCGGAGUGGCCACGACACCUCCACCCCAUCUAGCCUGAGGAAGGAGCAAGGGACCGUGAUCACAAUUUUCUGUUCCGUUUCUCUUUUGGGCCACCGACUUCAGCCCAUUCUGGGCCUAUUGUCACAAAAGUGGUCUCCAAAAAAAGCAAUGGGACCGCAGAGGGUCAAGCAUGGUGGCCUCUGAUGGACUAAACAGGCUAGAGCAAACCUAUUCGUUCAUGGCCAUCCAUCUUAAUACUUCGGUGUGUAGAGGUAGGACUAGAAGAACAGGGGUGGACUUGGCCAUGGAUGAUCAGGAAUCCAACGUCUGAGCGUGCUUGGAAAUCAUCAAAGCGAGUUUGGAAGCGAAAAAUACUCCCAGCCUCCAAUCGGAUUGGAUAGAAGAUCGUUUCGAUUUUAUUAUCUCAAUUUAAUUUAAAAAAAGAUAAUGAUUUUUUUAAUCCAGAAAUUUACGUGUUGGAGUCUUGCUGGAACUAGGUUUCUUAAUUUGAGAGAGAUUACUUCAAUGGUUAGGGUAGAAAUUUAUUCAGACACAAAUAUAUGGAUCAAGACCCUUUUGAAAGAAAAGGGUAUUUCCGCCUCUGGAUUACAAAAUUAAUAAUAUGGCAAUCAAAUCUUUACAAUUUAUAAUCAUCAAAAUAUAUGCAUAGUUUGAUAGAAUAAUUGAAGAUUUAUUUGCGUAUCGAUGAUCAAGUAAGUCAACCAAAAAGCUUAGAAAAAAUCAAAGUCUAAAAUGGUACAUUGUGCUUUUUAACUUUACCAAGAUAGGAGAUUGGGUUGUUUAUUUCGUAAUCUAUUAACUUACAGAAACCUGAAGUGCGCAGGAAUCAUUGUUUUAAUAUUGUCACCUGAAACUUGAUGUUUAUUGGUAUUUGGUAGACAUAUGUUCUCUUCAUCUUAGGAUCUAUUAAUUUGUCAAAUUUUGGUCCUAUUUUGGAUAGCUGAGAUGAUUUUAAUUAGAUCAAAACCCAACAAGGAUCAAGUUUAGAUAGUAGAGGAAAAUAUUUGGACAACUGAGACGAACUUCAUUAAAUCCAAAGAUCAAAUUAUUUGUACUUAUAUAUAGAGAGAGAGAGAGCGCCAAACUUGGCUACAAUUGAGUAGAUCUUAAUUUAGAUCUAGUCAGAUAUAUAAUAGAUGAUGAGGGUUCUACAUCAAUAAUUGGAGCCGUUGGAUGCAAGCUAUCAUAUAAUUUAGAAACUCUAGCCUAUGUAUUGAGUGAUCAAAAAUUGAACCGUCUACAUAAAAUUAAAUUAUAUGUUUUUUUUAUCACUUGAUGUAUAUGUUAUGGGUCUCUAAAUCAUAUAUUUUUUAAGUAUAAAUAGUUUAAAAACAAUAGAUCACAUCUAAUGGCUUGCAUCAUUCUUGUGAAAUUUUUUAUAAUAUUCAACAUAAGCUUGACCAGAUCUGAGUAGCGAUUCACUCAAGUGUAACUAAGUCUAGCUCUCUCUCUAUAUUAUACAUGCAUGUAUGCAUAUAUAUGUGUGUGUGUGUGUGUAUAUAUAUAUAUAUAAUAUAAUAUAAUAUAAUAAUAUAUGCACUCUAGGCCUAGCACAAAGAAUUUUGGAUUUCAAACUAGGUCAGGGUUCGAAAUUUCUUUCAAAAUUCUAGCUCAAGUUUGACCUAAGUCCGAACUUGUGCUCAAUCAAAAGCCUGAUUGGACUAGCUCGAAUCUAGAUCUUGAUUGGGCUCUAGUGCAAAAUUAGAGAGGGGAAGGUUAAUUUUUUUUUUUUGGGUGAGGGGAGAAAGAUUAGGAGAGGGGGAGAGAUUGGGAGAGGGACAACGUGGAGAGAGAGAGUGGGAUGGAGAGAGGGGGAGAGAUGAGGGAGAUGAGUGAGAGCAAUGAGGGAGAGAGAUCUGGUAGGAGAGAGCGAGGAGAGAGAAGAAAGAGAUCAGGAGGAAGAAAGAAGAUAGAGGAGAGAUCUUGCUAAGAAUGUGUUUUAUUAGACUUAAGCAUCAGGCUAAGCCAAAAGGAGUGAAGCAUCGGCCCGAGCACGGCCUAACAUUUAAUUGGGCUCUAUUUUUAAGCCGAAGAUCUACCAAAUUAGUUUUAAGCCAAACUCACAGCUCAACCUAUAACCACGCUAGCCCAGGCCCAUUUCCAGGCUAUGCUUUAUAGAUUAGGUUUGAAAAUGGGUUCGGUAUUGAGUCACCCGAAACUCGAAUCAUACCCGAUACCAUAGUACCCAACUUGCUUGACUUGAUUAUUGAUUGGGGCAUUUGAACUCUCAACCCAACUAACCCAACAUAUAUCCGAUUCAAAUCGAUUACCUGACCUGACCAGAACUCUACGUAGGGUACAUUUGGUCUUUGUGCUUUAGAUUCAGCUCAGUUAAUGAGAUGCUAGGCGCAUAUGCUCAUUUGGAUUGGUUGGAAAAAUGAGCAAGUAACCUGCAUAGAGAUUUUUGAUAUUCAUGGAAACGAAGGGCCCUAGCUUAUUAUUUCAUGAAGUAUGCUUAGAAUGUUUUUUAUCCUAUCUUAUUACAACUUAAGAUAAUUAAAAUUAUUUUUAAAAUAAAAUAAAUUUAUAGUCAAGGAUCCGACUUUUAUUGCAUAUCUGAUGGAUGGAUAUGAUCCCACUAUUAAUAAAAUAUUUGGUAUUAAUUUGUUUUUUUCUUACUAGCAUAUUUUAUUAUUACCAACAAGAAUUAUAUAAACUAUAGAAUACGCCAGGCUAAUUCAUAGGGAAGGAAUAAUUAAUUGAUGAUACCGUUCUCACUCUCUCGAAAAAAAAAGGAAAGAAUAAAAAAAGACAGUGAUCCCAUCAGCAAAAUAAAAAUUCCUUCUACAUAACAAAAAAGAAAAAAAGAAAAUAAAUUUGCAAUCCCACGCCAACCCAUUAUCUUUUUGUCGAAUAAACUUUACAAACAAGAGAAACUUUACAACCCCAACUCUUUUUAUCUCAUAUGGCUUGUAGUCAAUAGGGAGCUCAAUGUCUACAAAUGAUUUCACAAGACCAGGGUUUGUUUGCUCAAUUUGGCUGGACUUAUUACACUAAGUUCUCUCUAUCCUGGAACCAUUAAUGUUAUAUUACUCUCUCUCCUCACCCAUAAGAAACUAUAGUUCUUGCUUCGAGCCUCCUCUCCAUGUUGAACUUUGCAAUAAAGUCCUCUACCCUUCUGUUCAAUUCCUCGGCAGGCAAGCCCGUCUCUUCCUCUUCAUCCAACUCCUCACACUCUUUCUCCAUCUCCACCACCACCUCCUCCUCCUCAACCCCAUCACUUUUCUCUCUUUCCUGCUCCACUUCUUCAACUUCCUCCUUUGUCUCUUCAAUCGAAGGGCCCCUCACACUCUCCUCCCUCGCACUACCUUCCUUCCCAAUCUCCUCCUUUACACUUUCCACCACCUUAACUUCACCACUAGAUAGAUUUUGAAUACUUCGCCUUCUUUCCACAUACUCUUCGUAUGUAUCAGGCGUCGGCGGGGAUUUGGAGAGCUUCGACUCGCCGACUAGGAAGAUGAUGAUGAUGUUGGAGACUAUGAACAAGCACUUGGGCCUGCAGAUGAUGGCCCCAACGCUUGGGAGAGACACCAAGAAGAACUUCCUUAUGGAGGAGAAAAUGGUGGGAAGCGAAUGGGGAAUUGAGAGGAAUAGACCAAGCAUGACAACUGUUACACAGGAUUGCAUGAAGGUAGGGAGGGACUGCUUCCUCCUGUAUCUCUUCAUGGCUUGGAGCUUCUCUAUCUUAAUUGGGUCCAUAGUGCUGAGGGGAUUGGAGAAAGGCAAGUAGUAGUAGGGAAGUAAGUUGGAUCGAGAGACACAGAGAGAGAGAGAGAGAGAGAGAGAGAGAGAGNNNNNNNNNNNNNNNNNNNNAGAGAGAGAGAGAGAGAGAGAGAGAGAGAGAGAGAGAGAGAGAGAGAGGCUUGUGAGGAGUAGGGAGAGGUAAGGGAAGGAUCCCCAUCCGACAGAACAAAGAGCAAUGCAAGGAGAGAAUUAUAUAGAGAAGAUAAAGGUGGCAUGCAGCAGAUGCCAGCUUUAGUCCUCUUAUUAUUUGGCUCCCUUUAGCCUGCGGGGACACUUCGCAACUCGAGCAUUGUCCACAUGCACCUAAUAAUUUCUUUCUUUAUUGCUUACUAUGGGUCGGUGCCCAAGCUUUGCUAAAGAACGGGCAUCAUUAGCCCGUACAUAUAAGGGUGUUCCCUUUAAAUUUUUAAAUAAGUCAAGUUGGUAGCGUUAUCCUUUGAAGAAAAAAAAUAACAUGUAAUAUAUGAUUUUUUUUUGACAUUGAUUGAAUGGCAGGACCAUGUACUUAAUUUAAAUGUAAUGGUAAACUUAUUGUGGGCUACUCUAGUGAAGUCACUUAUGUUAAUGAUUGAAUUAUUGUUGGUGAACCCGGCCAUGUAUCAAAAUAAUUUGGAAGCAGUCUUUAAUUGGUGAACUGGGCAUUGAUUGAGGGUGAACUAACAAUUGAAUCCAUGCACCCAAAGUUACCUUCCCCUUUUUCCUAGUCAAUAUGAUUGGGACAAUGAUAGGUGAUGCUUGAAACGAAAUUUUAUGAAUAAAAAAGGUGAUAAAACCUCUCUCUCAAGAAACAGCAUGCUGCCAUAAUGGAUUACCAGUCGACCGUCCAAAGAAAAAUUCUGACCUUUGGGAAAGCACAUCUCACCUUCCUUUAUUUGGCGCAAAAGAUGGGCUUCUGAUAGAGACCUUAAUUAAGUCUCAAGAUUUGCAUUAUUGAAGCAUUGAAAACAAGUACAAGCAAGCACAACAGAACAAAAAAGAGCAAAAAAAAGAAGGAAAAAAUACUAAUAAAUCGAAAUUUUAUUCGGCAUAAAAGUUUAUUAGUUGGUUGAAAUUUUUGUCUUUAAUUCAUCCAAUAUGUAAUAAUUGUAUCACUAAGUAAUUUUUUUUUUUUUACAAAUUACAUCACACAACAUUAUACUGCACUAAUUUAGUCCUAACCACUUAUAAAGUUUAAUAGGUAUGUUAUAGUAGUAAACUGGUUAUCAAAAUUAAGAAAAAGAAGGGAAUAUAGAUGGACACUGGGACUGAAUAUAUUCCCUGAAUGAUCCAAAACCUCAAACCUUAGGGACUAAGGAAACAUGGGGAUAAAUUGGGCUCCAUGCAUGUCAACUGACUUGUUGGUUACCUGUACAAACAGUGCAAGGAAAUGUGGCAUCUAGCUUUGGGACUCAAUUAUUGAGUAGCCAAUUCAGCAUUCUGGUCAACAUCAGACAACACAUAAACAGAGGAUGCACCAUAUAUGUCUCUCUAGCUUUCCCAUUUGAAAUCAGUGGAUGUGAUUAAAACUAUGCAACAUAACUUGCUAUGGAAGACUCAUCUCUAUGUUUUCCAGAGAAAUCCCAAGGUCCGCCAACAAAGGAGAGAGAGUCCAUUGCUUAUUUCAUUGUGUGGAAAAUUUACUAGUUAGUUAAAUAGAGAGAAAGAAGGGGCACGAAUCCACCGUUGGAUCUCGUAAGGCUUGUUUGGUUUGUAAGAAAAGAAGAGAAAAAAUGUGGUCAACGGAAAAGUAAUGAGAUGUCUUUUAUUUGAUUAAAGUUUUCAAAGGAGAGAAAUAGAAAAGUUGUAUUCCCAUGGAAAUAUAAUUUCCAUGUUUAUGAAAAGUCUUUCCCAUGAGAAACAAAGAAAAGUUACAUUUUCAUGAGCUGCAAAUCACUCUAUUUUUAUUUUUUUCUAAAAAAGUCAUUCAGCAUUAAAGAGGCAUUAAAGACAUAAUUUUUAUUAAGGGUAUAAUAGGAAUUAUACAUAACCUUUUUAGGAAAGUGGAUGGUCAACCAAAAAUAAACACUUUAAAAAUCUAUCACUUUCCCAUUGUCAACCAAACAUGCCAAAAGUACUUUUCCAAGCAUUCCGGAAAGCUGAAAUUCCGGAAAAUCGGAUUUCUUCUUUUUCCAGGAAUCUACUUUCUAGGAAUUAUAUUCCUAAAAGGAAAAAUGUUUUCCACUAACCAAACGAGCCCGCAAUGGUUGCUUCACGAUCCUUGCAGGUGGAUAAAUAGAAAAGUUCGAAGCGCUUUGAGAUUUGUGUAGAGCACGAUCCAAUGGUCGACAUUGUGAAAGAAGAUUAAUUAUUCUUUUGUGUGAAAGACACAAUACGAACCUUGUAGGACAAUGGGGUGGACUCAAGGUGAGCAUGUGUCUCAUGUUGCAUGGCAGAAGAAAUCUAUUUGUUGACAGAGCUCUCUAUCUUUUCUCUGUUAGUAAUUGGUAAACCUGUUCGAUUAAAAUUGAUGUAAGUGUAUAACCAACUAGAGAAAGAUAGAGGAAGCUAAUAUUAUUGCUUAUGUUUUUAGAGAAAAAAAGCCAGCUUUUUCUGAGUAAGGAAGGAAGGACAAAUCAUCUUGUGUGAACUCAAGGUGAACAGGUGUCUCAUGUUGCACAAGCAUCUUGAGUUGAACUUAAAACCUCUCUCAAACACAA
rnacentral:lncRNA from 1 species